AAGCGUGUAUUAACAUAGUGUAGGGGUAUUUUAGACAUUUUCCUAUUCUCUUUCUUUCUUUUUUUGGUUUUUUCUAGAUGGUCCUAUCGCAAUUGCUUCUAUUUUGGACAUUUCAAAUCAAACUCUCCUAUCACGGUGGUCCCCCGAUGUAAGUUGCUUCCACCUUGGAUGGUACAACUGGGCAAAACAUUUUCUCACUACCCAC
rnacentral:lncRNA from 1 species